AGCGAACGCUGGCGGCAGGCCUAACACAUGCAAGUCGAACGAUCCUUCGGGAUAGUGGCGGACGGGUGAGUAACACGUGGGAACGUGCCCUUUGGUUCGGAAUAACUCAGGGAAACUUGAGCUAAUACCGGAUGUGCCCUUCGGGGGAAAGAUUUAUCGCCAUUGGAGCGGCCCGCGUUGGAUUAGCUAGUUGGUGGGGUAAAGGCCCACCAAGGCUACGAUCCAUAGCUGGUCUGAGAGGAUGAUCAGCCACACUGGGACUGAGACACGGCCCAGACUCCUACGGGAGGCAGCAGUGGGGAAUCUUGCGCAAUGGGCGAAAGCCUGACGCAGCCAUGCCGCGUGAAUGAUGAAGGUCUUAGGAUUGUAAAAUUCUUUCACCGGGGACGAUAAUGACGGUACCCGGAGAAGAAGCCCCGGCUAACUUCGUGCCAGCCGCCGCAGUAAGAC
rnacentral:rRNA from 1 species